rnacentral:snRNA from 1 species
GGAUGUGAGGGCGAUCUGGCUGCGACAUCUGUCACCCCAUUGAUCGCCAGGGUUGAUUUGGCUGAUUUGGCUGGCUAGGCGGGUGUCCCCUUCCUCCCUCACCGCUCCAUGGGCGUCCCUCCCGAAGCUGCACGCUCGGUCGAAGAGGACAACCAUCCCCGAUAGAGGAGGACCGUUCUUCGGUCAAGGGUAUACGAGUAGCUGCGCUCCUCUGCUAGAACCUCCAAACAAACUCUCAAGUAGACCGCCUGCUUUAUAAAUGUGCAGCUCUGAGUUCAAACCCCAGUCUCACCAAAAAUAAAUAAGUCCAAUGAAACCCAGAUACAUAAAACCAUAU